rnacentral:rRNA from 1 species
GAUGAACGCUAGCUACAGGCUUAACACAUGCAAGUCGCGGGGCAGCAUGGGGGUUGCUUGCAAUCCCCGAUGGCGACCGGCGCACGGGUGAGUAACGCGUAUCCAACCUGCCCUUCACCACGGGAUAACCCGGCGAAAGUCGGACUAAUACCGUAUGUUGUCCAUUGACGGCAUCCGAUUUGGACGAAAGGUUUGGCGGUGAAGGAUGGGGAUGCGUCCGAUUAGCUGGACGGCGGGGUGACGGCCCACCGUGGCGACGAUCGGUAGGGGUUCUGAGAGGAAGGUCCCCCACACUGGAACUGAGACACGGUCCAGACUCCUACGGGAGGCAGCAGUGAGGAAUAUUGGUCAAUGGGCGUAAGCCUGAACCAGCCAAGUAGCGUGCAGGAUGACGGCCCUAUGGGUUGUAAACUGCUUUUAGGCGGGGAUAAAGCGGCCCACGUGUGGGUUUUUGCAGGUACCGCAUGAAUAAGGACCGGCUAAUUCCGUG